ensembl:lncRNA
GUAGUACUACCCCAUGGAAGUGAGAAAUAUCAACAUGUCUGUGUUUGUAGCCAGCAUUGUCAUCCAGAGGAUUUCGAAACUGAACUGAUAGGGUUGCCAUGUCGUCGACUGUUAAAAAGGGAUUCUAUUCAAUCUAUUUUUACCCUUCACUUCAAAGAGGAAGGCAUCCAAUCAGCCAACAUCAGAGCAACAGAAAAUAAGUCAAGCUGAGAGUCAGAUCCCAUCAACAUCAAGCUCAGCACCAGGAAUUAGUAUCUCCUGGUCCAGCCUGAUAUCUCCCUGACUCAUUAGGAGGGGUCUCCAGGGGCCACCAGGAGCCUGAGGUGUUCAGGGGCCACAGCUUCACCCUCACUUAUUCCACUCAGCCACAGUACCCAGGAGGCUCCUUCCUCCUCACGUUCACCAGCUCCAACAGAACCCAGACAGCUGUCAAUCACUCUGCUGCCUUCCUCUUCCCUGCUGUAAAUGACUCCCACCAAAGGAAUUACAGCUGUGUUUAUGAGAACUAUGUUUUCUCUCAUAACUUCUACUCUGAGAGUGAGUUCCUCUCCCUCACAGCCUCUCCUCUGCCCACCUUCAUCAUCAGACAUGUUGUAGUGCUGCUGAUCCUACUGACAGCCAUCACUGCCUUCUACCUGUACUUCAAGACAAUAACGUGUGGUGCCUGGGCUUCUUUCUGGAGUGGAUUGUGAAACAUAAUUCAUUUACCUACAUGUCAUUGUAGCAGAACUGUGAAUUUAGAAAAUGCCCCGUUAUUAAAACAAAUGUUUUUCUCCAUUAAGUAAUCCAUCAGUGUACCCCACCAUCUUAUCUGUUUCUUCUCUCAAUGACCAAGACGGGUGAGUGUCCAACCCAAAGU